rnacentral:tRNA from 1 species
UGCGGGGUGGAGCAGCCUGGUAGCUCGUCGGGCUCAUAACCCGAAGGUCGGCAGUUCAAAUCUGCCCCCCGCUACCA